GUGCUUGCCUAGGCAGCACAUGUACUAAAACUAGAACAACACUGAGAAGAUUAGCAUGGCCUCUGUGCAAGGAUGACAUGCAAAUUCAAAAAGUAGUCCAUAUGUUU
ensembl:snRNA U6 U6 spliceosomal RNA